rnacentral:rRNA from 1 species
CUGACUGCUAUCGGAUUGGUACUAAGCCAUGCGAGUCAUUGUAGCAAUACAAGGCGGACGGCUCAGUAACACGUAGUCAACCUAACUCGUGGACGUGGAUAACCUCGGGAAACUGAGAAUAAACCACGAUAGAUCAUAGUGCCUGGAAUGGCUUAUGGUCCAAACAGUUUACUGCCAUGGGAUGGGACUGCGGCCUAUCAGCUUGUUGGUGAGGUAAUGGCCCACCAAGGCGAUUACAGGUACGGGCUCUGAGAGGAGAAGCCCGGAGAUGGGUACUGAGACACGGACCCAGGCCCUAUGGGGCGCAGCAGGCGAGUAACCUUAGCAAUGUGCGAAAGCACGACUGGGUCAGUCCGAGUGAUUCCUGAUAAAGGAGUCUUUUGCCUGUCCUAAAAGCACAGGUGAAUAAGGGGUGGGCAAGUCUGGUGUCAGCCGCCGCGGUAAUACCAGCACCUCGAGUGGUCAGGACGUUUAUUGGGCCUAAAGCAUCCGUAGCCGGCUCUGCAAGUCUUCGGUUAAAUCCACCUGCUCAACAGAUGGGCCGCUGGAGAUACUACAGAGCUAGGGAGUGGGAGAGGCAGACGGUAUUCAGUGGGUAGGGGUAAAAUCCUCUGAUCCAUUGAGGACCACCAGUGGCGAAGGCGGUCUGCCAGAACACGUUCGACGGUGAGGGAUGAAAGCUGGGGGAGCAAACCGGAUUAGAUACCCGGGUAGUCCCAGCUGUAAACGAUGCAAACUCGGUGAUGCAUUGGCUUAUGGCCAAUGCAGUGCCGCAGGGAAGCCGUUAAGUUUGCCGCCUGGGAAGUACGGACGCAAGUCUGAAACUUAA